rnacentral:rRNA from 1 species
GAUGAACGCUGACAGAAUGCUUAACACAUGCAAGUCAACUUGAACUUCGGUUUGGGUGGCGGACGGGUGAGUAACGCGUAAAGAACUUGCCUCACAGCUAGGGACAACAUUUGGAAACGAAUGCUAAUACCUGAUAUUAUGAUUAUAUGGCAUCGUAUAAUUAUGAAAGCUAUAUGCGCUGUGAGAGAGCUUUGCGUCCCAUUAGCUAGUUGGAGAGGUAACAGCUCACCAAGGCGAUGAUGGGUAGCCGGCCUGAGAGGGUGAUCGGCCACAAGGGGACUGAGACACGGCCCCUACUCCUACGGGAGGCAGCAGUGGGGAAUAUUGGACAAUGGACCGAGAGUCUGAUCCAGCAAUUCUGUGUGCACGAUGAAGUUUUUCGGAAUGUAAAGUGCUUUCAGUUGGGAAGAAAAAAAUGACGGUACCAACAGAAGAAGUGACGGCUAAAUACGUG